rnacentral:rRNA from 1 species
CCUACGGGUGGCAGCAGUGAGGAAUAUUGGGCAAUGGGCGCGAGCCUGAACCAGCCAAGUCGCGUGAGGGAGGAAGGCCCUACGGGCUGUAAACCUCUUUUGCCGGGGAGCAACGGGCGUCACGUGUGGCGCCACGGAGAGUACCCGGAGAAAAAGCAUCGGCUAACUCAGUGCCAGCAGCCGCGGUAAGACGGAGGUGGCGAGCGUUAUCCGGAUGUAUUGGGUGUAAAGGGUGCGUAGGCGGAUCGUUAAGUCAGUGGUCAAAUGCCCCCGCUCAACGGGGUGAAGUGCCAUUGAUACUGCCUUGCUGGAGUGCAGAUGCCGUGGGAGGAAUGUGUGGUGUAGCGGUGAAAUGCAUAGAUAUCAGACAGAACACCGAUUGCGAAGGCAUCUCACGAAUCCGCGAUUGACGCUGAUGCACGAAAGCGUGGGUAUCAAACAGGAUUAGAUACCCCAGUAGUC